rnacentral:piRNA from 1 species
UAAAAAUAGUAAAUGUUA